UCUGGCGGGUAACCACGCCCCAAGUGGCGUUCUGAGGAGAAUUCGGUGUUGGGGCGGUCGGGCCAGAAGCACUGAAGCGGGCAAGGAUAGUCCUGGCCGGGUCACCUCGCCAUGGGAGCGGAAAAGAGAGUGCUGCCGGUUAAGGAGGCCUUUCAGCUGGCGCAGCAGCCGCACCAGAACCAGGCGAAGCUGGUGGUGGCGCUGAGCCGCACCUACGGCACGAUGAAUGAUAAAACAGUUUUUCAUGAGGAGUUCAUCCAUUACCUUAAGUAUGCUAUGGUGAUCUAUAAACGUGAGCCAGCUGUGGAGAGAGUAAUAGAAUUUGCAGCAAAGUUUGUUACUUCCUUUCACCAAUCAGAUAUGGAAGAUGAUGAAGAAGAGGAGGAUGGUGGCAUUUUAAAUUAUUUGUUUACUUUUCUCUUACAGUCUCAUGAAGCAAAUAGCAAUGCAGUCAGAUUUAGAGUAUGCCAGCUCAUAAACAAGCUUUUGGGAAGUAUGCCAGAAAAUGCCCAGAUUGAUGAUCAUUUGUUUGAUAAAAUUAAUGAAGCUAUGCUUAUUAGAUUAAAGGAUAAGAUUCCAAAUGUGAGAAUACAGGCAGUUCUGGCUCUUUCACGACUUCAGGAUCCUAAGGAUGAUGAAUGUCCGGUGAUUGAUGCAUAUACUACUUUGAUUGAAAAUGAUUCAAACCCAGAAGUGAGGCGGGCAGUAUUAUCAUGUAUUGCACCAUCAGCAAAGACUUUGCCAAAAAUUGUAGGACGCACUAAAGAUGUGAAAGAAGCUGUCAGAAAGCUGGCUUAUCAGGUUUUAGCUGAAAAGGUUCAUAUGAGAGCUAUGUCCAUUGCUCAGAGAGUCAUGCUUCUUCAACAAGGUCUUAAUGACAGAUCAGAUGCAGUGAAACACGCAGUGAAGAAGCAUCUUCUCCAAGGCUGGUUGCGAUUCACCGAAGGAAAUAUCUUAGAAUUGCUGCAUCGGCUAGAUGUUGAAAAUUCAUCCGAAGUGGCAAUCUCUGUCCUCAGUGCCUUAUUUUCGGUGACUCCUCUCAAUGAACUGGUGGGAAUCUGUAAAAACAAUGAUGGCAGGAAAUUGAUUCCAGUUGAAACCUUAACUCCUGAAAUUGCUUUAUAUUGGCGUGCCCUGUGUGAACAUUUGAAAUCAAAAGGAGAUGAAGGUGAAGAAUUUUUGGAACAGAUUUUGCCAGAGCCUGUGGUAUAUGCAGAAUAUUUACUGAGUUACAUCAAGAGCAUUCCUGUUGUUAAUGAAGAACAGAAGGGUGAUUUUUCCUAUAUUGAAAAUUUGAUGACAAAAGAGUUCAUAGGUCAACAGUUGAUUCUAAUUAUUAAGUCUUUGGAUACCAGUGAAGAAGGAGGAAGGAAACGGCUGCUGGCUAUUUUACAGGAAAUUCUUACUUUACCCACUACCCCAAUAUCCCUAAUUUCUUUUCUUGUUGAGCGACUACUCCACAUCAUUAUAGAUGAUAAUAAGAGAACACAAAUUGUUACAGAAGUUAUUUCGGAGAUUCGAGCACCCAUUGUUACUGUUGGUGUUAAUGACCCAUCUGAAGCAAGAAAAAAAGAAGUCAAGGUGGCUGAAAUGAAAGUUAAACUUAUUGAAGCGAAAGAAGCUUUGGAAAAUUGCAUUACUUUACAAGAUUUUAAUCAGGCAUCAAAAUUAAAAGAAGAAAUAAAAGCACUAGAGGAUGCCAAAAUAAAGCUAUUGAAAGAGACAGAGCAACUUGAAAUUAAAGAAGUCCACAUAGAGAAGAAUGAUGCUGAAACUCUACAGAAGUGUCUGAUUUUGUGCUAUGAACUAUUGAAACAGAUGUCCAUUUCAACAGGUAUAGGAGCAACCAUGAAUGGGAUCAUUGAAUCUUUGAUUCUUCCUGGAAUAAUAAGUGUUCAUCCUGUAGUAAGAAAUCUGGCUGUUUUAUGCUUGGGAUGCUGUGGACUACAGAAUCAGGACUUUGCAAGUAAACAUUUUGUAUUGCUGUUGCAGGUAUUGCAAAUUGAUGAUGUCACCAUAAAAAUAAGUGCUUUAAAGGCAAUUUUUGACCAACUGAUGACUUUUGGGAUUGAACCAUUUAAAACCAAAAAAAUUAAGGAUCUUCAGUGUGAAGGUGUAGAAAUAAACAGUGAUGCUGAGCAAGAGUCAGAAGAAGUUGAAGAGACUGCUACAGUGAAGAAUGUUCUGAAACUACUUUCUGAUUUCUUGGAUAGUGAGGUGUCUGAGCUCAGGACAGGAGCUGCGGAAGGACUAGCCAAGCUGAUGUUCUCUGGACUUUUGGUCAGCAGUAGGAUUCUUUCUCGUCUUAUUUUGUUAUGGUACAAUCCUGUGACUGAAGAGGAUGUUCGACUUCGACAUUGCCUAGGCGUGUUCUUCCCCAUGUUUGCAUAUGCAAGCAGGACGAAUCAGGAAUGCUUUGAAGAAGCUUUUCUUCCAACUCUGCAAACACUGGCCAAUGCUCCUGCAUCUUCUCCUUUAGCUGAAAUAGAUAUCACAAAUGUUGCUGAAUUACUUGUAGAUUUGACAAGACCAAGUGGAUUAAACCCUCAAGCCAAGUAUUCCCAAGAUUAUCAGGCCUUUACAGUACAUGACAAUUUGGCUAUAAAAAUUUGCAAUGAGAUCUUAACAAGUCCAUGCUCACCAGAGGUUCGCAUCUAUACAAAAGCCUUGAAUUCUUUAGAACUAAGUAGCAAUAUUGCAAAAGAUCUUCUGGUUCUCUUGGGUGAGAUUCUGGAGGAAGUAAAAGACAGGACAUGUUUAAAAGCUUUGGAGAAAAUCAAGGUUCAGUUAGAAAAAGAAAAUAAAGAAUUUGAUGACCAAACUGUGGCAGCACCGGAAGCCAGUAUAACCACAACUGGUUUUCAAAAUGAAGAUGAAAAUAAUAAAGAAGUAUACAUGACUCCUCGCAGGGAUGUAAAACCAACCUGGAUGUCAAGCUCUACUCAGCAAAAGACUAAUAGAGCAUUUUUGGGCUUUUUUUUAAAGGACGGAAAAAAGUGACAGCUUCAGCGAGGAUGAACAGGAGACGUCAGACUGGUGAGGCUGAAUGUGAAAGUGAUCAUGAAGUUCCAGAACCAGAAUCAGAAAUGAAGAUGAGAUUACCAAGACGAGCCAAAACAGCGGCACUAGAAAAAAGUAAACUUAACCUUGCACAAUUUCUCAACAAAGAUAUAAGUUAGGAGAGAUAUUGAAGGUAGAGUCCUUUAAAAAUCUGUUUAGUUCUUUGAAGAAAAUUAUAAAUAAAGUUAUCCUUGUGUCUAAAUCAGUAAAAGUCUGAUGUCUUUCUGAAGACUUCUCACUGUAUGAUGCCACAUAACUUCGUUGUACAGCCCCAAAUUACUGUCACUUGUAAUAAAGCACAAGGACAUUCAUUUGUGAUAUAGAGA